rnacentral:rRNA from 1 species
UUAUCGUUUAUUUGAUAGUACCUGUCCUACUUGGAUAACCGUGGUAAUUCUAGGGCUAAUACAUGCUAAAAAUCCCGACUUCGGAAGGGAUGUAUUUAUUAGAUACAGAACCAAUGCCCUCCGGGGCUCUCUGGUGAAUCAUGAUAACUCCGCGGAUCGCACGGCCUUGCGCUGGCGAUGGUUCAUUCAAAUUUCUGCCCUAUCAACUUUCGACGGCUGGGUCUUGGCCAGCCGUGGUGACAACGGGUAACGGAGGGUUAGGGCUCGACCCCGGAGAAGGAGCCUGAGAGACGGCUACUACAUCCAAGGAAGGCAGCAGGCGCGCAAAUUACCCAAUGCUGACACAGCGAGGUAGUGACAAUACAUACUGAUCCAGGGCUCUUUUGGGUCUUGGAAUUGGAAUGAGUACAAUUUAAAUCCCUUAACGAGGAACAAUUGGAGGGCAAGUCUGGUGCCAGCAGCCGCGGUAAUUCCAGCUCCAAUAGCGUAUAUUAAAGUUGUUGAGGUUAAAAAGCUCGUAGUUGAACCUUGGGCCUGGCUGGCCGGUCCGCCUCACCGCGUGCACUGGUCCGGCCGGGCCUUUCCCUCUGGGGAGCCUCAUGCCCUUCACUGGGUGUGCUGGGGAACCAGGACUUUUACUGUGAACAAAUCAGAUCGCUCAAAGAAGGCACUCGCUCGAAUGCAUUAGCAUGGAAUAAUAGAAUAGGACGUGCGGUUCUAUUUUGUUGGUUUCUAGGACCGCCGUAAUGAUUAAUAGGGACAGUCGGGGGCAUCAGUAUUCAAUUGUCAGAGGUGAAAUUCUUGGAUCAAUUGAAGACUAACUACUGCGAAAGCAUUUGCCAAGGAUGUUUUCAUUAAUCAGGAACGAAAGUUAGGGGAUCGAAGACGAUCAGAUACCGUCGUAGUCUUAACCAUAAACUAUGCCGAUUAGGGAUCGGACGGUGUUAUUUU